CCGGAGUUGACGAAUAUAAUGAAAUAAAUUAAUAUGGAGUCUUUCCACUUCUGGGACGUGAUCUUAAUUAUAGGAACCAUAUCGCGGAUCGUGUCCACGCACAAAUGGAAAUAAAUUUCAAGAUAAUAUCUUGAUGAAUGACUAAAGAAGCAGUUCCGAACUAAAAUAUGCAAAUUUUCAAACAUCUUUGAUCAGGAUUGGCUGAUAAAAGUAAGAAAGGAACUUCGUUAUAAGACUCUUAUAGAUUAUCGUCAGAAAUAUGAGCUCUGGGAGCCGGAUCUGCUACUGGCCACAACACACAGCCUCUUUUCUACUAAGACCAGAAUUAAGGUGUUAUCCAGUUGCAUUCCCACUAGCCGUUUCCACUAAUGAAGAGCCGUACUAAUUGCACUCCCCAAUGUCUGAGGGAGGAAGGGGAAACGGGUUUAAUCUCCCCUCCGACACUCUACCCACUUCUGGCUCCUAGUAACAAUCUGCUGCUUAUUCCACCUUGGCUUUAUUCCCUAUCGUAACAGGGACGAGAAUGCGGGGGCGUAUCUAUCUACGGGGUUAAGAUUUCCAAGAAUGUCUGGGUAACAAAGGGUUGUGUCCGAACCACAAGUUGAUCGACUCUGUGGUUUUGAAGUUUCCAUGGCAACCGACGGAUGCAGGACCGGAACGCCAAGAUGAGCCGAAUGCCUGUUCUGCAGGGUGGAUGCUUGGUUGAUUGCGACUCUUCUAUUCACAGAGAUUGUCGCCUUAGAAAGAUCAAAUCUGAAUAAUUUUAUUAAUAUGAUGGAAGCCUUAUUGCUGUAAAUAAUAAAUGAAGCUAGUGCAGUGGGCUCAUUUGGAGACUUCGGUUCAAUAAGUGCUGGCUCCCUCUUGUGAGAAAAAUCUGUAAGAUGGAGGAGAGUCCGAAGAUGUUUUUUCCCUUUUCCCCCUUCUUCCGACGUUUUAAACUUCAGCACCUCGCCCAUUUUCGCCAUUUUAAAAGUUUAAAAUAUUCUAGUCUAACCCGAAACUAAUCAGAUUAAUUUCAAAUAAUAAAAGCUUUUUGCAGAAAAUCGAUGGAAGCUUUAAAAAAAUAAUAAAAACCUUUUAACGAUUUUUGAAUAGUCUCUAGUUUGAUUUAUUCGCCAAAAAAGUCAAAUUAUUGUAUAAUACGAGCGACGAAAAGUGCACUGUUUAGUUAGUUUACGUUUAUCCUCUUUCUCUCUUUUUUUAUUAAUGUAAUUUAGAUAGAGUGGAUAUCAAAUAUUAAAAAGGAUAGACUUUUUAAAAGUAUUAAAAAUGGAUAUUUUAAUGACGUUUCUAUUUAUGACGCGAGGGGGUAGUUUGGGCUUUUUUAUAUAUAUUUUUUUCGUCUUUCAUCUCUGACAAAUGACUAAAGCUCGGUUCAUAAAAAUCUUUUCUUCAGAAUCCACCAGGUAAUUGCCUUAUUGGAUGGAGGGGAUGAUCUCAUCUGUGUGCAGGUAUCGAGUGAGUAGAAGCAAACAUAUCCAAUGGUUCGAAUUAUGGCCAUACAGUGAGUGGUUCAGUAUCCUUAAUGUUUCGAACUACGGUUGCAGAAACUUAGGAAUAGAACAGUUACCCGUUUUUAUUACAUGACGGUUCCAACGAUAAAAGUGACAGCAGUUCCUGCGUUGAAAUCCCUGCAGUUAGUUCUCUGAUAGGCAACGAUUAUUGUCUAGAAAUCUAUUCAAUCUUUACUGUUUUUACCGAAUUAUAUUUUAUAUCUUUCUAUAUGAUAUAUAUAUAUAAAUAUAUUUUAUUAUUACAGUCAUUUUACGUAUUGGAUUGCUUAAUUUUCGCCGUUUCUAGCUCGAAAGAAAAAAGGAUAAAUUAUUUUUUAUCCUCCCUCUUUAUCCAUUUUUUAAGAAAUAAUUACGAUCUCAUCUGCCUAACAAUAAAUUCGCAAAUUAAACAAAACAUUUUCUUCCUGACCAGAUAAAAAGACUACUACUUAUUUCGUCAUAAUCCUCUGCCACUAUUUUUUUAUAACUACCUCUUCAUUGCCUAACCUUGUACUUAUAGUGCCUCUUGACAAAUUGCCAAUUGAUGAAAUUGGCCAGGGAGCAGAGAUGCCAAUUAUGUUUUAUGGGUUCCUGACUACGACCACUUUUCGUCUUUUGAUUUCAAACUUCUUUAAUGAUGUCCGGAAGGUUAGUGGGAAUCACCAACACCCAAAAUGACAAUGUCAACAAAUACAUCUUAUUUCUAUCAUAAUUGUGUGUAUUUAUAUAAUAUAUAGACAGAUAUAACGGUGUAUAUGUUUAUUUUUAAUCCAAUUUUUCAUCUCGUUCAUUAGUAAACUGUUUUAUUAAUCAAAAU